rnacentral:rRNA from 1 species
UACAGAGGUCUCAAGCGUUGUCCGGAUUUACUGGGCGUAAAGCGCGCGUAGGUGGCUUCGUAAGUCCCGCUGUGAAAGUCGGGGGGCUCAACCCUCGAAUGCCGGUGGAUACUGUCGGGCUAGAGUACGGAAGAGGGCGAGUGGAAUUCCUGGUGUAGCGGUGAAAAUGCGCAGAUAUCAGGAGGAACACCUAUUGCGAAGGCAGCUCGCUGGGACGUAACUGACGCUGAGACGCGAAAGCGUGGGGAGCAAACAGG